rnacentral:rRNA from 1 species
AUUGAACGCUAGCGGCAGGCCUCACACAUGCAAGUCUAGCGGAGUGGCGGACGGGUGAGUAAUGCCUAUGAAUCUGCCUGGUAGUGGGGGCUAACGUCCGGCAACGGGCGCUAAUACCGCAUACUAUCAGAUGAUCCUGGUUCGGAUUAGCUAGCGGGUGGGGUAAAGGCCUACCAAGGCGACGAUCCGUAACUGGUCUGAGGGGAUGAUCAGUCACACUGGAACUGAGACACGGUCCAGACUCCUACGGGAGGCAGCAGUGGGGAAUAUGGGACAAUGGGCGAAAGCCUGAUCCAGCCAUGCCGCGUGUGUGAAGAAGGUCUUCGGAUUGUAAAGCACUUUAAGUUGGGAGGCGGUACCAACAGAAUAAGCACCGGCUAACUUCGUGCCAGCAGCCGCGGUAAUUC